CGGUUGGGCUCUGGCAGAGGUUGUCCUGGCAGCUAUCACCGAGCCAUCGGCGCACGUUUCCGGGGGCCCUGCCUGCUCAGUGCUGCGGGCGGAUCCUGAGCGUCGAGCACAAGCCGACUCCCUGGCUGUCUGUCCUGAUGAAGGAUGCAUCCAUCCUCAGGAAGGUGGCGGGGUUGGGAGGCUGGGGGCUGGGGUGCAAGCCCCCUUCGGCCAGGAGGCAACUCCUGGUGAGCAGGACUCAGGCUAAGGGCCACCCUUGGAGAAGACACUUGAUGGUCACUGCUGACCCUACACAGGACCGUGCUCAUCACCACAACUGUUCAGCUGAGUCCCGCAAGAGAAGCUGUAUGGUUGCUGUGUUUCCAGCACAGAUUCCCGUAGAUUACCACCGGCAUGGAGCGGCCUCUUCCAUCGGAGCCCUGUGAGCCUGAUUCCGACCUCUUAGUACCCGACCCCCAAGCACAGAGCAGUGCGGUUGGGGGGCAGAACCCAGCGAGAGGGUGGGUGGCAGUACAUGGCCACGAGGGGCG
rnacentral:lncRNA from 1 species